AUAAGAUUCUUUCCCUUGCCCAUCCCGGCCCCUGGCCCGGCAGUGUUUGGCUCUGUCUGUGUGAACCUCAAGCUCUGCCUGACCAGAGGGCCGGGGUGGUGUCACCCUGAGGUGUCCCCU
rnacentral:precursor_RNA from 13 species